CUUUUGGAAUGAAUGUGUAUUUUGGCUGUUCUGAGAUCUGCAAUUCUCCAUGAAAAUAUUUUGUAGGAUAGAGAAGUUGAACAUUUGAUCAUAUGCAGUAGCACAGGACACAUGGAGGACAGCUGACCUGGUUACAAAAGAGUAGUUGGGUGAGUUCCCAUUCUCUUAUCUUGAGAGAUUUAAAUAUUUAACAUUUAAGGAUGUAGAAAGUCAAUAGCAUUGUAUUAAGCCAAUGUUGUUAAUAUUAUUAUUUUUUAAAUAUAUACAAUAGUUCAUAGUGAAUAAAACAUGCAUUAAUACACUUGUUUUUAUGUUUAAAAUAACAUGUAUAUUCUCCCAAUAUAUUUCAAGAGUUUACAUUUCAGCAUCGUAUAUAAUUAAAAGAAGAAACUAUAUUUUAUGAAUUGUUCAGCUUAUACUAAGAAAUAAAAAAAUAUAUAUUAUUUUAGUGAAACGCAUAUGAAAAAAAGUUGCAGAAAUAAUUGGUGAGCUUUUUUCUUAUGCCAGCAAAAUCAAAAGAAAAUAAUAUACAUUUGGUACCCUGAUAAAUAGUAACCAGCUUAGUCACUAAAGUGUGGAUUUUCAGGAUUUCAAAGUGAGUUGAAAGUGGAUUUCAAUUUUGGGGCCAAAAUAGCAACUGGAAGCAUUAUCAAGUCAGCUAGGUUUUCAGUUUAACUGUUUUCGCUUCAUAUUUGAAAAUCAUUUUGUAAUCAUUAGGAAUUUUAGUGAAUAACUUAACAUAGAACAUGAUCUCAAAAUAAUACAAACAUCAUGUUAAUUACUUCUGCUAAAUACAAAUUAAUAAGAAAUGUUCAUAUAUUUUGUGAUUUUUUUUUUUCAAUCUAUGCCUCUCUUCUGCGAAUGUAAUCCAUGAUUUUUUUAGUGAAAAUCUUGUUUGUUUCAUUAUGUAUAUCAUCACAGCAGUCCGCCUUGUAAAUCUAAGUGCUAUUAAAAUUGACGUGGAAUAAUAACACAUUGCAUAUUUAGGGUAAUUUUUUUGGAAUUGAUGAAUGUCAGGAGAACCCAACCUGUCUUUCAAACUUGUAUUUUUUUUUUCUUCUUAGUGACUCUUUGCAUUAUGUUAUGAGGUUAAGAAAAGUCGCUCUACAUUUAAUUAUAGCACAGUUUGUAAUUUAUGAUUGUGGAUGUCAAUGAAAACGAACGAUUAGUAUGGUUUUGUUAAUUUAUAGAUAGCAAGGAAUGUUCAGAGAUAUGCAUAAUAUUGCUAUAAAGAAAUAGAAUUGAAUUAUGUGCACAUGCUUAAACAGUACAGCCGGAUUUUCUUUGACAUGUAUGUUUUUUUCCCAUAUAAAUAGAAUAUCUUGGCCUUUAGGCUUCUCUUUACCAAACAGCGAGUUCUGAUAAGCUUAAAACUGAUCUCUCAAAUAUUGUCCAAAAUAGCUAAAUAACAAAAAUGUGAAAUUAUUUAGAAAUUUUAUUGGCAUCUUAGCAUUUUGGGGAGGAAUGAUUUAGCUCGAUUUUCAACUCAUCAUAGUUUGCUUUAUAGGCAGUAUUCCUAUUACUAUCACUUUAUUCACCAAGCAUUAUAUUGCACUGAAUUCAAAAUACAAUUAAAAAACAUAGGCUAAAGUAUGAGUAUUGUGUGAUUAUUGGAGAGUUGGAGAAUAUUUCCAAACUAGCUAUCUAGGCCUAUAUUUCGCAAUUUGUUUUUGAAUUCAUUUAAAUGUGGUUUGAAUAAACCUUGAUAUAUUGAAAAGCAAUUAUUGAUUUGGAAGUAAGUGUCUAACUGAUGGCAUGUGCAUUUGUGUAUUUAUGUCUUAGAAUUUAACUAUAGAAACAAAAGAAAUACCUCAAAUAUAAACAUUAAAUGGAAAAGUGUUGUCCAUCUAAUUUGGAAUGAAACAGUUAGUCUUUGGACUGAAACGAUAAGAUCAGAUAAGAAGAGAAGCAUGGUGUAUCACAUAACUACUGUAAAUCUGUUGGUAGACAAAAAAAAGACAAUGUUACAUAUAUACUUUGACCUAAUGUUUGUAAAUUCAUUGUAAAUUUACCAAAGUUCCCUGUUUACUCAAUAAUUUAACUAAAUAUUUUCUAUACUGGCAGAAGAUAUGACAUUUACAUACGUUUAGUGUAAUAGUUAGAGUAAUAAUGACACCCAAGAUGUUUAUGAUUAACUAUAUCCCUAAUAUUUAAAAAAAUAUGUCUUUGUAAGGUGUGAAAAAUAAAAUAAAAUGUAGAAAUACACAUAUGUUUUAUUCAGCAAUUGGGCACCUCCAUCAUAGCUCCCUGUCAAUCAUUACUAGAACCUCUGUUCUUCGCGCCAGUCAGUAAGCAUAAAGCCUGUAGAGACCAAGAGAAAUUAAAUAAUGCUUCUAUUUCUUCUCCUCAUUUCCAAUGUGUGGUCUAGUUGUGCCAGGAUUGAACUGGAUUUCUAAUCUGUUAUAUCAUUAAUAUACAUUUAAAAGAAAUCGGAGCAUCGCAUUAACUAUAAUAAUCAGAGCAGAUGCGGUUCCCCUUUAAAGAGAAAUGUAAUUUGCAAAUAUCUCUGGUGCCAAGAUUUGCUGUCACUGAUUUAGAAGUAAAAAAUACAACACAUUCUAGGUUUCAUUUAAACUGUUUAAAUAAUUGCUGCGGGUGUAAUUUGUCAGUGACUGUUGUGAUUUAUACAGUAAAGAUCACUCCAAAACAUUAAGAUAAAACAUUAAUUACACAGCCCAAUGAUGUUUAUAUGUCAUGUCACUACAUUUAGUGGUUUCUCACCUACACUGGAAUCUUUACCGAAGCUGACAUAUUCUGCACCUUCUUUGUUUCCCUCUUUUUUAAUUACCUAUAAAAGGAAGUUAAAUGAUGUGGAGAGAGUGGCUGAUUGGUUUAGAUGACUAGAAGGGAUUAAUUACAUUUUUAUUAGUUUUAGACAGAAUAAAACCACAUUCGACUUAGUAAAUUAGAACAAUUCCUUUUAAUUAAAAUGUUCUUUUUAAUUAGCAUAUGGAUGGGUCAAAUAUCCCGGAGAAUGAGAAGGGAGGAUGACAUUCAGUCUGUGGUCCAGUCUGCCUGUUCUUGUAAUUACUGCCUUAACAAAAAUAAAUUGACAGCCUGGGAUGAAUAAAUUAGAAUUUGGCAUAUCAGUAAUUUUCUUUAUACAAAACUAUUCUAAUUCUCCACUAAAAAGAGAUUGUGUUGAGCUUAUUUUUUUUUUUUUUUCACUUGCAACUGCAUUGUGGAAAUAGGAAAAGCAUUCAGCGGUGGAUUCAGAGUUCAGGUAAGUCUGUCUAGAAGAAGUUACAGCUUCUAUUGUUUAAGGAUGAACUUAAUCAUGGUAGUAGAGAUACCUUUCAAAUUACUAUAAGCGCAUCAUAGCUCUGGUUCUUGCCAGUUGAGUAUAACAAUAAAUAACACAUUUGCAUUUAUAUAGCACCUUUUAUUUUAACAGAUUCCCAGAAUGCUUUGCAAUUGAUAUACUUCAGAAUAAUCUUUUCUUGGCAGUACGUUUCAUAGUAAGACAUGCAAUCUGAUGAAUACACUCUUACAUGACAGCAUCUAAAGGAGUGGAAGGGAAAAUAUUAUUUUUCUUUAAAUGAUGGCAGGUAAAGUAACCUGUUCCAGUAUUUGGUAGUGCAUCAAUAUUUCAAACAAUCAAGGUUUUCAAUUUACAUUGAGAAGUGCUUUGCACUAGAUCAAACUCUUUGUUUCAAUAUAACAUUUGUGAAGGCAGCCAUUACUGUGAUUGAGAUGUCCAUUGUGAAAACCAAUAUAUGGAGGCUGGAAUACAAAAUGGAAUAAUGUCUAAGAAGAAGUGUACCUCAGAUUUUUUUUAAAGUAUUUUGUAUACAUAAUAUUAAAAUAUAUGUGGCACAGAAUCAAAAAAACAUGAGACAUCUAACUUUUUUCUGUAAAUUUAUUAUAGCCACUCUAAAACCGUGACUUUAACACACCAUCAUAAAAAGCCAAAAUGUAUUCUAAAAAGAAAUAUUAGGCUAUUAGAAAGAAUUUGGGUGGAAAAAAAUUGUAAUUUCAAGUCAGUUCCAGACAACUACUUGAAACGGACCCCCACACACGGUAUUCUUUAAAGCAUAGGGUGAAUAUAAGACAAACUUGAAAAACAUUGACUUCUGACACCUUGAACUGACCCUUAUAACCUAUAUGAUGCUGAAUGUCAGUCAAUCAAUGCUCGGUGACAGCUGUCUUAAAAUAUUGGCUGUGUAAGUGCAGUCAAUUGGCACCAAGCAUGUUAAAAAGAGAAAGGACAUAGUGCCAUUAUUAGCAAAUUUUUGAUUCAUGAAUGGACAAAAAAAAGGAAAAAAAUGAAGUAAUAACGUAAUAAUAACCAGGAGUCCCCAGAAUAACUGCCGAAUUAAAAAGCAGCUGGGAUUCUUAUGAUCAUGUAGAGUUUUUUUUUGGUUCAUAUUAAUAAUAAUAUUAAAAGGAAGAAUUGUAUGAAUAUUUAUAGUGUGAACUUUAGCCUUUGUUACUUUAAUGUGGCAAUUGUAUUCCAUUUGCCCAUUUGAUCUGCAGAUAACCUAUAAUUCAUAUUUCACGAUUUAGUGAAUGCACUCUGUGGUUAAAAAGCAAUUAAAUUGCACAGAAAAAGAUUACAGAAUGAAUUAGAACAUAUCUACUGGUUCAACAUUUAUGCUUAAUACAGAUAAAUGUUAUUCAAAAGUUCUUGUUUUUUAAAAAAAUAAUUAAAACUGCUCAUGUAACAUCAGCUUUGCACCUGUAUUCAUUGAUAAGCAGUUUAGAGUAUAAUAACAUCAUCAUUUUCAAUCCAGCACACUGCCCCUAGAAUACUGCUUGUGAUUUAAAAUCUCACUUAAUUUCGCAAUAAUUUAGAACAGAUUAAAAUAGAGGGUACAGGUUCAUAGAUCUCUUCAAUAAAAUCAGGUUGUUCACAUCUUUGGGAAGACUAAACAUACUUUAAUUAAACUCAACCAAAUUAAAAGCAUUUCAUGUUUGUUGAAUCGUUAUAUCUGACUGCGUGGUAUACCAAUGAAGAUGGAGUACCGAAAAGCAAACACGGAAAGUAUUUGCCUUCAAUUACAUGCAAUUCUAUGAUAGUUUUAUAAAGAAAUGCUCUAAUAUACAUCAGAUAUACAUCUUAACAGCAUUAUACUUACAAGGAGUCCAUAAGAGCUCUGCCUACACAACCACUCGCAGGAAUAAAAAUUUAAAUUAUCAAUCAAAUUAAACUCAGAUUUAUUGGUAUCUCCAAACAAAAUCAAUGUUUAAACAUUAAAAAACAAGUUGUACAGCACAGAUGAAUCUCAACAAAUGUUUGGACAAUAUAACAUAAGCCUUGAAGUUGAAAAACAAUAAAUUCUACAUAAAAAUAGUACAGACAGAGAUGGCAUAGUACACAAUUACAAUGGAUUAUUCAUUAUUAAUCAAGUGUUCAACACAAACGUUUGCAAACUUUCUUUGCAGAUAAUUGUUUUAUAAUUGGCUUCAAGUCAAUGGUCUUCAGGAUGUCAUUUUCCAUACAUAUAAGUGAAAGCCAAUUCAAACACUGCUACCCCAUUGUGCUGCAAAGCUGAUUUUUUUAAAUCAGAUUCAGUCUUAAAUAAUGAACAUUCUCCUGCACAGUUGGUCACUGUCAUGAACAUGAACACUCUGUGCAAACUAAGAUGAUUAGUCCACCUAAAUGUUUUAAUUUUUUUUAUUUUAUUAUUCUUUAUUUUUGUCGUGCACAUAUAACAACACAAGCUUGCCUUGCCAAGACAGCAACGGCCAGCAUAAUCAUGAUACAGAUUUAACACACAAGUGUGGGAUUCUGAAAAUCAACACUUGUUCUUUUUUGUAAGAACAGUUAACAGUCAAGUAAGACGAGCAUAUAGUGGAACAGCCAAAUAGGGCAACACUGGUAAGGCAUUAAAUAGGCUCCUCGUAGAUAUGUCAGGAAAAAUAGGUCGAGAGUGGUAAACUGAAUAAGCUGUCAUGACAAUAUAGAGUUUGUAAGUAGGACAUGAGUAAGAUAUGUGUUAUAAUUUUUGCUCAUUGAUUAUAGAGAUAGUAGACGGAGUAUAGCUCAGUUGCUAGGCAAGAAUAGAGUAUUAUACCGCUUUUGCCGACAUCGCCUUUACAAGGCUGAGGCAUGUUAGGUAAGUAUGUUAGAAAGUUUGAAAUAAAACAGAGGUAGAGUAAAUGAUACAUCAAACUGUGAUGCAAGUGUCUAUAGGCAUAUGCAGGUACAAUGGCUUCAAUGGGAAUUUAGUGGGUCUAGUGAUUUAGGCACAGGGGAGGUAAGUCCGCAGUACACCGGCGAAAAAGUGAAACAAAGGUUAACCUGGGUAGAGAAAUAAAUGGUUAUUAUUUGUAGAACAUCAGAACAUGUCCUCUACACACAGGCAUGUACAGACAGUAACAGUGUAAUAAUAAGGGUGAGCGUUUGUGACUGCACUAUUUUCUUUUUGUGUGAAUGUUUAAAUAACAAAUUUUGAUGUACAAAUGGGGAGGGUUAUGCUACCCAUACGUUAUAAUGUGUCAGGUGAAGGCAAAUCAUCAGCUUAUUCAAUAAAGAAAAACUGAAAAUAAAAACUCAGAACAAUGCUAAAUCAAAACUAUGCGGACUAAUAAUUUUAUUAGAGUGCAGAGAGUAAUUUAAGUACUUGGUCCAUUCAAUAUAAAUGUUUUGCACAUCUAGCUACUUAUGGUAUCUUGUUCCAUUUGUGAUAACCUGAGGAGGGAGCGGGGAGGAUAAGGUGGUUUGGGCACCAACCAGGCUGAUUAGGGUAAGUGUGAUCAAACUGGUCUAGUUAAAGAGACUUGGUCUAAGGCAGCAGAGUUAUAUAACCGUUUAAAAUAAGGUAAUAAGUAACACAAAGGUGUCCAGGGUAUCCCCUGUUACAGCAGGGUUGAGGUCUCCAGCCAGAGCUCGGGUAGUGACUGCAGCAUAUGGCUUUGGUGUAGGCCGCCGGGGGACGAAUGGAGUGAUGCACUUCGGGUCCCACACUUGUGUGUUCUGCUGCAUUGUAGCUUGUCUGUUUUGAUCAAGGAAGUCCAGAGGCAGUCCCAGGGUUUGGAGGAGAGCUGCGGAUUCCAGGAGGUCAUUGAUGAGGUGUGUAGUAUCACCUUGGUACAUGAUGAGUGUGCGAGAUAGACAUCAUUGAUAUUGGAUAGCGUGUUUUUGCAGGAGUGAGGUAAGUGGUUUUAAAGACCUUUGCCAUGCCAGGGUGCCUGCACAGAGGUUGGCGUAGAAGGUAAGUGGUAUAUUUUCAAAAUGAUAGGGAGAGUUAUCUCUCAUGGCUUUCAUGGCUGAUGGCUUGUCAGCCCUAUUCUGGAACUGGACAAGAGGCCCCUUGGGGCUGUAGUCGGGACUUUGGCUGGUUUUGGGACACAGAAGACCCCAUCCAGUGAGAGGGCCUCGGCUUGUCUUGGCUGCAGUAGGGCCUCCAUAUGUGGUAAUUCAGCCUCUGAAAUGUUUUCAGAGACUCCUCGCAUCCUUAAGUUAUUCCAGCGCCAUUAGUCUUCCUGGGCCGCAAAACACUGUUUAUAUAGCAGGUGUUUUUGCUGCAGUUCCUGUACUGCAUGCUGGAGUGAGUGUAUUUGCUGCGUGUUCCUGGUGGAGGCAUCCUCCACUUCUCCCAGGUAGCCGGUUAGGCCCGUAGGUCACUGUCGAUCUUAGCCACAUCAGCUGAGAUUUUUUUUGGAGGUCCGCAAGCCUUUCCUGCAGCACAGCUCUUGUCAAUGGAGAGGAGGCCAGGUCCACCAGGUUCUGUGGCUGUGUGUUCAAGUUCUGCCAUGGGACAGGUACACCCUCAUCCUCUGCCUCAAUGGAGAAGUCAUAUGAGAAGUCAGAGCAGUCUCCAAGUAGGGGAGCCAUCUUGGGCACCAUGCGUCUGCCGCCACAUGUCCCCUAUCAUAAGCCCCACACCAGGUUUGUCCAGCCUCGGCUUUUUAGAUUUUCACCCCAUUGUCAUUGGGCUAGUAAGGGGGGUCCCCCUGAAUAGAAAGUGUUAGGGUAGAAUAUAGCCGAUCAAGGCCGGACUGGGAAAAAAAUUAGGCCCGGGCAUUUUUCAAUCAGAGCGGCCCCCUAACAAGGGGGCGGGGCCAGAGAGGGUGUGUUCUGUCAUCACUAAUUACAAGCACGCCCCCUCUCAAAGUGAGCAUGUUGGUUCAAUGCGCAGAGCCCCGCUGAAGAACUCUGGCAUUAGAAAAAGGCCCUGUAUUUGUUCUGCGCAGCGCAAGCAAAUUUAAUAACAUGCUUGCGCUGUGUUUCCUUUUAAAUUGUCUCUGGUGUCUCCGCAAGUGGGAUACCAGAGGACAAAAGGGCCAGGAAAGUGUAUGGUGCAUGUGUUUGGAGCCUGCUUGUGGGAUUGCGUGUGUGUAGAGUGAGCUGAUUGUGGUGUGGUAUUGUGUAAAUAGGUCAAUUUCUUUUGUGUCUGUGGUGUAAUAUGUGUGGCUAGGGGCUGUAGAGAGUGUGUGCGUAGGGGGCAUAGUGUUAUAGGGGAUGUAGCGAGUGUAUGUAUGCGGGCUGUAGUGUGUGUNNNNNNNNNNNNNNNNNNNNNNNNNNNNNNNNNNNNNNNNNNNNNNNNNNNNNNNNNNNNNNNNNNNNNNNNNNNNNNNNNNNNNNNNNNNNNNNNNNNNGUAUAGGUGACGUAGUGUGUGUAGGGGUUGGGGAGAGGGUGUGUUGUAGAAAGGGUGUGUUUGCUGACAAGGAAUGUAGUGUGUGUGUAGGUGGUGCAGUGUGUGUAGGAGAUCUAAUGUGUAAAGGACCCAGAGUGUGUAUAGGAGAUUGUGUGUGUAUGUGUAUAGAGGAUUAAGAGUGCAUACAGGGUAAGGGAUCUAGUGUGUAUCUGGAGCGUAAUGUGUGUACUUGUGCAGUGUGAGAGGUGCUGUAGUGUGUGUGUGUGUAUAUAUAUAUAUAUAUAUAUAUAUAUAUAUAUUUGGACGUAUUGAAUGUGCGAGGGGCGCUGUGUGUGAGGGUGUUUUUAUCUGCCGUCACAUUUUAGGUUUCUAAUUUUCUUUGUUAACUCACUGAGGGUUAUUUCAUAUAUUAUAUAUAUAUAUAUAUAUAUAUAGAAAUGAAAAAAUCAAAAACCACAUAUGGAUUAAUAAAGCACCAUUUUUUCUAAUAUUUGAAGACCUGUGAGUGCAUCUUGAUUUUUUCAUUUCUAUAUAAUUGACGCCUAAGAUUUGCACCCAGGCAAGCAAUACACUGCUUUUCCUUUUUUUGGUGUGUGCCAAGCUAUUAUCUUUUUUUAUAUAUAUAUAUAUAUAUAUGUGUGGGAGUGUGCUGUGUGUGUGAGCGAGGGUGCUGUGUGUCUGAGGGUGCUCUGUGUGUGUCUGAGGUUUCGCUGUGUGUGUCUGAGGGUGCGCUGUGUGUGUCUGGGUGCGCUGUGUGUGCCUGAGGGUAUGCUGUGUGUGUCUGGGUGCACUGUGUGUGUUUGGGUGCUGUGUGUGUCUGGGGGUGCUAUGUGUGUCUGGGGGCGCUGUGUGUGUCUGGGGGCGCUGUGUGUGUCUGGGGGCACUGUGUGUGUCUAGGGUUGCUGUGUGUGUCUGAGGGGUGCUGUGUGUGUCUGAUUGCUAUGUGUCUGGGUGCUGUGUGUGUGUGUGUCUGGGGCUGUGUGUGUCUAGGGUUCUGUGUGUGUCUGGGGUGCUGUGUGUGUCUGAGGGUGCUGUGUGUGUCUGGGGUGCUGUGUGUGUCUAGGGGUUGCUGUGUGUGUCUGAGGGUGCUGUGUGUGUCUGGGUGCUGUGUGUGGGGUGCUGUGUAUGUCUGAGGGUGCUGUGUGUCUGGAGUUAUGUGUGUGUGUGGGGGUGUGUGUGUGUCUGAGUUGCUGUGUGUGUGGGGGUGCUGUGUGUGUCUGGGUGCUGUGUGUGUCUGGGUUGCUGUGUGUGUCUGUGUGUGUGGGGGCUGUGUGUGUCUGGGUGCUGUGUGUGUGUCUGGGGUGCUGUGUGUGGGUGCUGUGUGUCUGGGUGCUGUGUGUGUCUGGGUUGCUGUGUGUGGUGCUGUGUGUGUGUCUGGGGGUGCUCUGUGUGUGGGGGGGGGGUGCUGUGUGUGUCUGUGAAUUUAUUUUUUAUUUAAAUUAAAAUAGAUUUUUUUAUCAAUAAUUUAAAAAAAAAGUUCUUUCCCCUCCUCCCUUCUUACCUUUAGCCUGGGAGGGGGGGGAGCCAUUCUGCCUGGGGUGCCAUGAGGGGAGCCUUGCUACCAUCCUUCCCUGGUGGUCCAGUGGUGAGAGUGAACUCUUGCCUGUAAGCUAGAGUUCACUCUCGCGAGAUCUGAGCGGACCCGGCGGAGCUGUUGGUUAGAGCUCUGCCGGUCCUCUCCUGCCUCCCUCCAUCCUCCGCCUGCGGCCCCAUCUCCAUGCCUGUGGGCUGGUGAGGGAGAUCUUUGAUCUCCCCACCGGCCCAUGGAGACACACAGCAGGGCCGGCUCUCGGAUAGCGCUGGCCCUGCAGGGGCUGGUAGGGGAGAUCCUGUGAUCUCCCCUGCCGGCCUCGGCCCACGGCCAUCGCGGCCCACCGGGCAUUUGCAGAUAUUUUACUUCUGAUAUCCAGAGCUCCAGAAACCAGCGUGCACUCGCUUUUGCAGUUAAGCUCUGCCCCUAAACAUUUUAAUAAAGAGGGUCUGAUGGGUCUGAAUACAUCUCCCACAAUAAUAUACUAAAAAGUUGGCAAGCCUAUGGAGUUCCUAUGCUCGUGGGGCCCCUGGACAACUGCCUAGCUUGCCUAUGCAUUAAGGCUGCUCUAAAAUACAUUUUCCAUUUGGCUUCAGCAUACAUAUCUCAUUCAAUAGCCCUUUUACUGGCUGCCCUUGCUAACAGGUUGUUGUGGUACCAUAUGCCAGCCAUCUGAUGCCCUGUAAUGUCNNNNNNNNNNNNNNNNNNNNNNNNNNNNNNNNNNNNNNNNNNNNNNNNNNNNNNNNNNNNNNNNNNNNNNNNNNNNNNNNNNNNNNNNNNNNNNNNNNNNCUAUUCUGCUCUGUGUCAGUGUGUAUCAUGAUCUCUGAGGACAGGUGUCAGUCCAUAUCUGCCAAGUGACCCUAUGUAGGAGGAACAGUCUCUAUUCUGCUCUGUGUCAGUGUGUAUCAGGGGCUCUGAGGAUAGGUGUCAAUCCAUAUCUGCCAAGUGACCCUAUGUAGGGGGAACAGUCUCUAUUCUGCUCUGUGUCAGUGUGUAUCAUGGUCUCUGAGAACAGGUGUCAAUCCAUAUCUGCCAAGUGACCCUAUGUAGGGGGAACAGUCUCUAUUCUGCUCUGUGUCAGUGUGUAUCAUGGUCUCUGAGACAGGUGUCAAUCCAUAUCUGCCAAGUGACCCGUAUGUUGGGGUAAUACUCUUAUUCUGAUCUGUGUCAGUGUGUAUCAGGGGCUCUGAGGACAGGUGUCAAUCCAUAUCUGCCAAGUGACCCUAUGUAGGAGGAACAGUCUCUAUUCUGCUCUGUGUCAGUGUGUAUCAGGAUCCUUAGGACAGGUGUCAAUCCAUAUCUGCCAAGUGACCCGAUGUUGGGGUAACAUUCCCUAUUCUGAUCUGUGUCAGUGUGUAUCAGGGGCUCUGAGGACAGGUGUCAAUCCAUAUCUGCUAUGUGACCCUAUGUAAAAAAGGCCUGAUGAGAUGAGCUGCCUUGGGCUAAAAAUGGUCCACACGCUGCUGUAUUUUAGCUCUGAAUGCCUGUUGACUUGCGUGACUUAUCCGCCACCAACUUGGGUUCAAGUCGCCAGUGUGUACUUUAUAAAUGGCUUUAUAAAGCAGUGUGUACUUUAUAAAUGGCUCCACCUGCCACCCGUACAGCAACACAGUCUCCAGUUAGGAGGACUAACCAAGCAUCUUCUUCCAUCUGCCUGUUACAAAAAUCAAUGCCGUGUACACGACCACUGAUAGGAGACGCGGAAGGUAUUAAACUGAUAAAAAUAGUACUAAACACACCACCUCUAUCUGGUGUCAUCACAUUAGCUUUGACCGCGUGCCCCCAAAUUUGCAGUAAGAGGACCGACCAAGGCUCUUCUUCCAUCUCCCUGUUACAAAAAUCAAUGCCGUACACGACCACUGAUAGGAGACGUGGAAGGUAUUAAACUGAUCAGAACAAUACUAAACACACCACUCCUAUCUGGUGGCACAUUAGCUUGACCGCGCAGUGCCCCAAAUUUGCAGUAAGAGGACCGACUAAGGCUCUUCUUCCAUCUCCCUGUUACAAAAAUCAAUGCCGUACACGACCACUGAUAGGAGACGUGGAAGGUAUUAAACUGAUCAGAACAAUACUAAACACACCAGAAACAUAGAAACAUAGAAACAUAGGAAUGUGACUCUGCAGAUAGCUUGAAAUCCAUUCAAGUACCAUCAAGUCUUCGCCCAAUUUUCUAAAACUUCUCUAUUAGUCCCUAGCCUUUGUCUUAUAGUUAGAUAGCCUUUAUGCCUAUCCCAUUACGCAUGCUUAAACUCCUUUUACUGUGUUAACCUCUACCACUUCAGCUGGAAGGCUAUUCCAUGCAUCCACUACCCUCUCAGUAAAGUAAUACUUCCUGAUAUUAUUUUAAACCUUGUCCUCUUAAUUUAAGACUAUGUCCUCUUGUUGUAGUUUUUCUCUUUUGGGCCAUAGUCUCCUCCCUUUACUGUGUUGAUUCCCUUUAUAUAUUUAAAUGUUUCUAUCAUAUCCCCCAAUCUCACUUUUCCUCCAAGCUAUACAUGUUAAGAUCCUUUAACCUUUCCUGGUAAAGUUUUUAUCCUGCAAAUCCAUGAAACGUGUUUAGUAGCCCUUCUGAACUCUCUCUAAGGUAUCAAUAUCCUUCUGAAGAUACGGUCUCCAGUACUGUGUACAAUACUCCAAGUGAGGUCUCACCAGUGUUCUGUACAAUGCCAUGAGCACUUCCCUCUUUCUACUGCUAAUACCCCUCCCUAUACAACCAAGCAUUCUGCUAGCAUUUCCUGCUGCUCUAUUACAUUGUCUGCCUACCUUUAAGCCAUCAGAAAUAAUCACCUCUAAAUCCCUUUCCUCAUAUGUUGAGUUUAGGACUCUUAUCAAAUAUUCUGUACUCUGCCCUUGGGUUUUUACGUCCAAGAUGCAUUAUCUUGCACUUAUCCACAUUAAAUGUCAGUUGCCACAACCCUGACCAUUUUUCUAGUUUACCUAAAUCAUUUGCCAUUUGGCUUAUCCCUCCUGGAACACCAACCCUGUUACAUAUCUUAGUAUCAUCAGCAAAAAGACAUACCUUACCAUCAAGACCUUCUGCAAUAUCACUAGUAAAAAUAUUNNNNNNNNNNNNNNNNNNNNNNNNNNNNNNNNNNNNNNNNNNNNNNNNNNNNNNNNNNNNNNNNNNNNNNNNNNNNNNNNNNNNNNNNNNNNNNNNNNNNAAAGCAUAGAAGUAAAUCAACAAUAGAAUGGCUUAAACAGAAGAAAACACGCCUUCUGAAGUGGCCCAGUCAGAGUUCUGACCUCAACCCGAUUGAGAUGCUGUGGCAUGACCUCAAGAAAGCAAUUCACACCAGACAUCCCAAGAAUAUUGCUGAACUGAAACAGUUCUGUAAAGAGGAAUGGUCAAGAAUUACUCCUGACCGCUGUGCACGUCUGAUCUGCAACUACAGGAAACGUUUGGUUGAAGUUAUUGCUGCCAAAGGAGGUUCAACCAGUUAUUAAAUCCAAGGGUUCACAUACUUUUUCCACCUGCACUGUGAAUGCUUACAUGGUGUGUUCAGUAAAAACAUGGCAACAUUUCAUUCUUUGUGUGUUAUUAGUUUAAGCAGACUGUGAUUGUCUAUUGUUGUGACUUAGAUGAUGAUCAGAUCACAUUUUAUGACCAAUUUGUGCAGAAAUCCAUAUCAUUCCAAAGGGUUCACAUACUUUUUCCUGCAACUGUAUAUAUAUAAGCACCCACAAAUAUAUCUAUACACUGAUCAGCCACAACAUGAAAACCACAUGCUUAAUAUUGUGUAAGUCUUCCUUGUGCUGUCAAAACAGAUCUGAUAGGUCAAGGCAUAGACCCCACACAACCUGUGAACAUGUCCUACGGCAUCUGGCACCAAGACAUUACCAGUAGAUCAUUUUAGUCUUGCAAGUUGUGAGGUGGGGCAUCUAUGGAUAGGAUUUGUUGUACCAGCAUAUCUCACAGGUGCUCAAUCAGAUUGAAAUCUGGGGAAUUUAGAGGCUACGGCUGUGCCUUGAACUCUUUGACAUGUUCAUCAAACCAUUCCUAAAUACUUUUUGUAGUGCUGUAGGGUGUGUCAUCCUGCUAUAAGAGGCCAUAGCCUUCAGGGAACACCACUGCCAGGAAGGAGUGUACAUGGUCUGCAACAAUCUCUAAAUAGGUGGUGUGUGUCAAAGUUGCUAGGAAUGCUAGGACCCAAGGUUUUCCAGCAGAACAUUGACCAGAGUAUAACACUUCCUCUGCUGGCCUGCCGUCUUGCGUCCUGCUGUUGACUCUUCACCAGGCAAAUAGCACACCUGCACCCGGCCAUCCGCCUGAUCUAAAAGAAAAUGUGAUUCAUCAGACCAGGCAACGCUUUUCCACUGCUUCAUGUUCGAUUUCUCCCAAUAAGCGAGCUUUUGGUAGUGGACAGUGGUCAUCAUGGGCACUCUAACCAGUCUGCGGCCUCACAGCCUCAAACACAGAAAACUGCAAUGCACUGUGUGUUCUGACAGCUUCCUAUAAUAUCCAGCAAUUAGUUUUGCAGCAAUUUCAGCUACAGUAGCUCUUCUGUGUGAUCCGACUAGGCAGGCUAGCCUUUGCUCACCAUGUGCAUCAGUGAACCUUUAGGUACCUAUGACCCUGACACUGGUUCAUCCUUGCUUUCACCACUUUUGGUAGGUAUUAACCACUGCAUACUGGAAACACCUGGCACAACUUGCCAUUUUGGAGAUGCUCUGCUCCAGUCAUCUAGCAAUCACUAUUUGGCUCUUAUCAAAGUCAUUUUCCAUGUGUUGCCCAUUUUUACGGGCAGCCAACACAUGAAAUACAAGAACUGACUGUUCACUUGCUGCCUUAUACACCCUGUUCCAAAUUAUUAUGCAAACAAUAUUUUUCUCAUUUACCUAAAUAAUUGGUGUAAAUAACAGUCAGCAUAAUUCUCAUGUUUUCAACUAUGAAGAGUACAAUUCAAAUGUUAUUGAACAAACCUUCUAAUGAUAACAGUGUUUUUUUUAAACAUAAAAAACCUACAAUGCACUGUUCCAAAUUGUUACACACAGUAAGUUUCAAAACACUUUAUAGGUUGUAAAGAACUGAAAAUUGUAAUUUGUUGUGUUUGCUGCAUAUUUACUGAAAUCAAAAGCUAUUUCAAUCAAACUUAUAACAACAUUUUAACUUUUUAAACAUUUUAACAGGUCACGUUACGUAUUAACAUAGGACCCCUUAUUUGAUAGCAGCUUUUUGGACAAUUUCUGCUUGAAUUUGUUUGCAAGAUGUCAGAAUAGCCUCCCAGAGCUGCUGUUUGGAUGUAAACUGCCUCCCACACUCAUAGAUCUUUUCUUGAGGAAGCUCCAAAGGUUCUCAAUAGGAUUGAGGUCAGGGGAGGAUGGAGGCCACACCAUGACUUUCUCUCCUUUUAUCCUCAUAGCAGCCAUUGAUGCAGAGGUAUUCUUUGCAGCAUGAGAUGGUGUAUUGUCAUGCAUGAAGAUGAUUUCAUUACGGAAAGCAUAGUUCUUCCUUCUGUACCAGGGAAGAAAGUGGUCAGUUAGAAACUCCACAUACUUUGCAGAGGUCAUCUUUAUACCUUCGGGGACCCUAAAGGGGCCGACCAGCUCUCUUCCCAUGAUUCUGGCCCAAAACAUGACUCCACCACCACCUUGCUGACGUCGCAGCCUUGUUGGAACAGGGUGGCCGUCCACCAACCAUCCACUACUCCAUCCAUCAGGACCAUCCAGGGUUGCACGGCACUCAUCAGUGAACAGGACUGUUUGAAAAUUAGUCUUCAUGUAUUUUUCUGCCCAAUGCAGGAGUUUCUGCUUGUGAGCAUUGGUAAGUGGUGGCCAAAUAGAAGGUUUAUGCACAGUUGCAAGACUCUGGAGGACUCUACACCUUGAUGUCCGUGAGACUCCAGAGGCACCAGCAGCUUCAAAUAUCUGUUUGCUGCUAUGUAAUGGUAUUUUAUCAGCUGCUCUCUUGAUCCGAUGCAUGGAUCUGGCAGAAAUCUUCCUCAAUGUCCCUUUAUCUGCACGAACCCGUCUGUGCUCUGAAUCAGCCACAAAUCUCUUAAUAGUGCGAUGAUCACGCUUAAGUCUUUGUGAAAUAUCUAAUGUUUUUAUACCUCGUCCAAGGCAUUGAACUAUUUCACUCUUUUCGGCAGCAGAGAGAUCCUUUUUCUUCCCCAUAUUGCAUGAAAAUGGUGCUCUGCUUAAUAAUGUGGAACACCCUCCUUUAGUAGAUUUUACUUAAAUUGGGCUCACCUUGCAAUUUAAUUAUCACAGGUGUCCGAGAUUGUUUUCAGUGAUCAAAAGAGCCCUGAGACACAAUGCCAUCCAUGAGUUAAACUGAAAAACUAAAUAGUUAAUCUUUGUGACACUUAAAUAGAAUUUGCAUAAUAAUUUGGAACAGGGUCUAUAUCCCACUCUUUGGUGCCAUUGUAACAAUAUAAUCAAUGUUAUUCACCUCACCUGUCAAUGGUUUUUAUGUUGUGGCUAAUCAAGAUAUAUAUACUAUUGCUAUAUUUUGUGCUGCCAUAUUUCAAAAGGUUUUAAACAAUAUUUUAAUCAGGAGUCCAAAAUAAAGAUACUGUGUAGCAUAAUUAAAUAUUUUUCAACAAGUAAUGUUUUCUGAUUCUGUAGAGCUUCUUGAAGCAGUGUAUAAACAGUUUAGCAUAGCAAAUUCUAGCUAAUGACAGUGCAAGCAGUUGAUAUGAAGAAUUCCUACUCACAGAGAAACUGCAAAUAAGAUGUAUAAAACAAUGUGAAUGAUGAUCAUUAUUGGCAAUAAAACCAGACAAUGGAUUGAAGAUGAACAUUUUGUAAAAUAACACCUGCAGCAGUGGUCAAGGCAUACAAGUGCUGCAGAUCAUAAACAAAGUUAUAACCUUUUUUUUCACAGUCCAUAGAUCAAGAAAUAUGCAUUAAAACAACAUUGGCUCUAUAAUAUAUAAUCCUAAAUGUUUACCAUUUACUUUAUGUAUCUUAACAUUGUACAAUUUCUGUCUGCUGGCUAAAGGAGGAAUUUCAUUGAAGAUUACAUUUUGUAGUGUGAUUCUGGUAAUGUGUAUCUGAAUUUCACAGAUAAAUUUCCCACAACUGAGAAACUGUCCAGUGAUGUAAUCAGAAUGUUAUAUGAUUCAGCACGGAGCUGUCAACUCUUCUCUGCCAGUAAUACAUUCAUAUGAUAAUAUUCCAUACAUUCCCACAGGGAAACAUUUUUCAUGUCUUAUCAUGCUCCAUCAGACCGUAGGAUGCACAACCCGUGAAUUAAAAAAAAACUUUAUUGGGGUCAAGAAAGGUAUUGACCUUUAUUCUAAUAUGUCAAUAAAAUGUGACAAAAAUAAAGUAACAUAAAAAAGAAACAGUAGAAAAUAUACAUGGCACAGAGGACAGUCUGAUUGAGGGUACUGUGAUUUGUCAGUAACUUGAUCAGGUUCACCCACACAAAUACGUGAACAUCUACACCAUUUACUCACACAAAUACAUAAACACACACACACUAUCUUUCUAUCAUCUUCUCCAAGGUUUAAGCCAAGCAUGUCAUACUCGCGAGCCGCAAGUACAUGCUUGGUGUUAAAGCAGAGUAGGCACCUGCUUUCUCCACAUUGCAGGUGCCUACUCUGCUAAAAUUUACCCGGCCGGAUAGGAAACAGAAUGCUGGCGGCAGCAGGGAGAGCUCAGUCUUCCUGCUCCUCACUGCUCCCUCACACGCCAUUUGUACUGAAGCCGGGUGCACUGCGCGCGAAGGAGCAGUGAGGAGCAGGAAGGAGAUAUCCAGAUAGAAGUUCCUCACUGGACCCCAGUGAAUGAUUUGAGUGUGUGCAAGAAUGUGUAAAUGUGUGUGUCUGUCAGUGUGUUUUUCAGUGUGUGUGUCUGUGUAUGCCUGUCAAUGAGUGAGUGUGUAUCUGUCAGUGAGUGUGUGUCUGUCAUUGAGUGAGUGUGUGUGUAUCAGUGAGUGUGUGUCUGUGUGUGUUAGUGAGUGAGUGUGUGUGUAUGUCAGUGAGUGUGUGUGUGUGUGUCAGUGAGUGUGUGUGUCUGUGUGUGUGUGUGUGUCAGUGAGUGUGUGUGUGCAUCUGUCAGUGAGUGUGUCUGUGUGUGUAUAUCAGUUUGUGUGUGUCAGUGAGUGUGUGUCGGUCAUUGUUGCGAUGGCCGCAGCUGGACAGUGGAAUACCUAGAGGUGCACGGAUGCACCUAUUGCCACGUCACAUUCCGAUGUGAUGUCAAUAUGCUCCACCUUCACAGGGUUUCAGGAAGUAGCGGAAGGAUCUGCUUUGGCACAGGGUGCGGACAGCGCCAUUUGGGCUAUACCAGAGGCCAGACUCCGGAGUAGCAUACUGUGAGUGGAGUCUGAUUGUUGGCUAGAGGGCGGUGCUGGAAUUUAGUAGAGAGAGGGACUGGGAUUUAGUAUAGGGGGAGGACUGGGAUUUAGUAUAUGGGGAGACUGGGAUUUAGUAGAGGGGGGACUGGGAUUUACUAGAGGGGGUACUGUAGUUUAGAAGAGGGGGAUUUAAAAAAAAAAAAAUUUACUGUACAUUUCAAAAUAAACCUACGUUUCUAUUAAAAUGUAAGUUUUUUUUUUUGUUUUUUUGCAGCCCACAUAAACCUAAACCUUGUUUAUUUGGCCCAUGCUAGACUUUGAGUUUGACAUGCUUGGUUUAAGCUAUACCCACUUGGGUAUUUCUUUAUAUAAUACAGAAUGACACACCUGAUCUGAAUUAUAUAAUGCAGAUUCCAUGAAACAUUUAUAAAAACAACAUUUACAUACUUACUGGUUGCAGAGUUUAACCCCUUAAGGACACGUGUGACAUGUCAUGCUUCACUUUUAUUCCAGAAGUUUGGUCCUUAAGGGGUUAAGCAUUUUAAUAUUGAUAUUGAAAUGUGUGUCCCUCAAACAAUGUCAUAAUUCUUUUUUGGUAUAAAUUUUUGAUUUAUUUUUAUACAUAUUGAAAAAUUAUUGUUUAACUUAAAUAGUAUAUUUGCUUUCAACUAUACAAUGAAAAUGACAACAUUAAAGUAACACCAUAGUCACCAGAACAACUACAGAUUAAUUAUUAUUAUUAUUAUUUUAUUAUUUAUAUAGCGCCAUCAGAUUCUGUAGCGCUGUACAAUGGAUAAUAUGCGGUGGUUAGUACCUACCAAAUGUGGUGCAAGGAAGUGCAACUGGUGAACCAGCGUCAUGAUGCAUAAUGUAGUUGUUCUGUUAAAGUCAGUCGCUGCAGGCAUUUUCAUGUAAACACUGCCUUUUCAGAUAAAAGUCAGUAUUUACAUUGAUGGCUAAGGAUACCUCCAAUGGCAGUCAAUCAGACGGCCACGAGAAGGGGUGGGGGGAUUAUGCAACACUGACACUCAGUGUCUCCACUGAACUCUACCCAUAUGGAUGCAGUAAUUCAAUGCAUCUCUAUGAGUAGAUGCUGAUUGGCCAGAGUGGAGUUUGGGUACCCUACCCCUCCCCACACCCUGCCCCCUGGCUAAGAUCAUCAUCAUGAUCUGUGUCAAUCCAAUCCAAUUCUUUCAGUGAUGAUCACAGUGAUUAGUCUGAGUAGUACAUUAAUACUAUUAAUAUAUUUUUUUAGAGAUUUGUAUUUUUUUUUUACCCUUAUUGUCAAUUACAGCAUUGUUUAUUUUUGUAACCCGUUCCCUUCUGCCUAAUCACUGUAUUGUAUAGUAUUUGGGCUGUACGGUACUGUAUCAGUUAUUAGUGUGAUCAGAGGACUCUCUGAUAAAGUUGACAUGUUUUUUCUGUUAUUUCUAUAUAUAAUAAAACCUUUUAGUGCUCGUCACAGCUGUCUGAUCUGCAAUCAGUGGCAUACAUAUAGGGGUUGCAGGGGUCGCAGCUGCGACUGGGCCCCUCACUCCAGGGGGCCCAGCCGCCCUGCAGACCCCUGCAACCAAGUGCCCGGCCGCACGUUCAAGGGGCCCAUUGGGUGGCCCAUGGUGUUAGGCCCACCCGAUGGGUAUGGAUUUUCAGACACACACACACAGAAAGACACACAGACACAUACAUACAGACCAACACACACACACACACACAGACAGACACACACACAUACACAAGACACACAUACAUACAAAGACACAUACAUACAAACAGACAGGCACACAUACAUACAGACACACAGACACAUACAUACAGACAAACACAUAUACACAGACACAUACAGACACACAGACACAUACAUACAGACAGAAACAUACAUACAGACCGACAGACACACACACACACACAAGACACACAUGCAUACAAAGACACAUACAUACAUACAUACACACAGACAGGCACACACACAAACAUACACACAGACACACACAACACACUCAUACAUACCCAUACACACAUACAGACAGACACACACACAUGCAAACAAACAAACACACACACAUAUACAAAAUGUUUAAGUCACCCUCCUGGUUCCUACCUUUAACAGCACGACUGGGCCCCCUGUGAUGACAUCACACGCUGGGAGGAAGUGACUGCCCCAGUCACUCCUCCCAGCUAUCAGAGAGCCCGCAAGGGAGGAAGGAGAGGAGGUAAUCAGAGUGGGAACUCUGACUCCCAUCAACCUGAGCCACCACUGGACCCCAUGGAAAGUCACCGUCCUCCACCUAAAAGGUAGGAAACAGGAGGGUGACUUAAACAUUUUGUAUAUGUGUGUGUGUUUGUUUGUUUGCAUGUGUGUGUGUCUGUCUGUAUGUGUGUAUGUGUAUGUAUGAGUGUGUUGUGUGUGUGUCUGUGUGCAUGUUUGUGUGCCUGUCUGUGUGUAUGUAUGUAUGUAUGUGUCUUUGUAUGCAUGUGUGUCUUGUGUGUGUCUGUCUGUCUGUAUGUAUGUUUCUGUCUGUAUGUAUGUGUCUGUGUGUCUGUAUGUGUCUGUGUAUAUGUGUUUGUCUGUAUGUAUGUGUCUGUGUGUCUGUGUAUAUGUGUGCCUGUCUGUUUGUAUGUAUGUGUCUUUGUAUGUAUGUGUGUCUUGUGUAUGUGUGUGUGUCUGUCUGUGUGUGUGUGUGUGUGUGUGUGUUGGUCUGUAUGUAUGUGUCUGUGUGUCUUUGUGUGUGUGUGUGUCUGUCUGUAUGUAUGUGUGCCUAUCUGUUUGUAUGUAUGUGUAUCUUGUGUGUGUGUGUCUGUCUGUUUGUGUAUGUGUGUCUGUCUGUGUGUGUAUGUGUGUGUCUGUCUGUAUAUGUGUAUGUGUGUGUGUCUGUAUGUAUGUUUGUAUGUAUGUGUCUGUAGGUAUGUGUGCACAUGAGUAAAAAGGAAAGGAGAGGAGUGCACAAGUGAGUAUUAGGUCCCCAGAAAGCAUAGAACGAGCACGUUAUUAGAUGCAUUUGUGCCAGGUUCAGGUUUCUAUCUGCAUAGUACGCCUUUAGUUGGCCAGCUUGUAUGAUUAGCAGACAGCCUGACAUGAAUUCUUCAGCAGGUUCACCUCCUUUUUGGGCAUGCCCAUUCAUUUGGGCUCUGCCAUUUAUGUGAUUUGAGCCAGUGGCCCACCCUUUUACCCUGCCCAUCAACAUCUUGCUUUACCAAACGCUGCUCUUAGGGUGUAUGGAAUUGCUUGAGAAAUUGAAGUAAUAGAUUAGCAUAGGGUAUGUGUUUUCUUAUUGCUGCAUUUUGUAAAUUUGCUUCCAGCACUGUUUAAGGUUUUCUGACAAUAAGAUUAUGUAAUGAGGCCCAUCGUAAUUGUCAGCACCAGGCCCAAUGGCCUGUUAAUCUGGCCCUGCAUGGGGUUAUUGUUGUACUUGUGAGACAAUGCUGAACAGUUAUAUGAGUGUUUUAGAGCAGUAAAUGUAUAAUGAGGAUGAUAUCAUCAGUAAAAGUGCAGUUUGUGUGAAAAAAAAAUUCAAAAAACAAAUAUGUACACUAAAUUUGGCCAGGAUUUGUGACUAAGUGGCUACUAAAAAAAAGACAGGACAUACCACAUUCUGAAUACCCUGGGUUGUCUACUUUUGCAAGUGGUAUUCCAUGAUGGAUGCAAUUCUCAUUCUUGGGAUGCCAUAUGGUCUCAAAGGCAAUAUUCGAUGUGUAAAAACUGAAAGCUGGGAAAUGGGGCUGUCAUAGGAGCAGUGGUGUGUGUGAGGGGGACAGUGUAUGAGCAGUGUGUGUGUGUGAAGGUUGCAGUGUGUGAGUGAGGGCGGCAGUGUAUGUCAGGGGUGCAGUGUGUGUGUUAGGGGGGCAGUAUAUGUGUGAGUCAGUAUGUGUGUGACAGUUGCAGUGUAUGUAUGUAUGGGGCAGUGUACGUGUAGGGCAAUGUGUGUAUGGGGUCAGUGUAUGUGUAUGGGGGCAGUGUAUGUGUGCAGUGUGUGUGUAUGUGGGGCAGUGUGUGUGUGGGGGGCAGUGUGUGUAUGUGUGUGGGGGGCUGUGUGUGUGUGUGUGGCAGUGUGUGGGGGCAGUGUAUAUGUGUGGGAGGCAGUGUAUGUGUGUCUGGGGCAGUGUGUCUGUAUGGGGGCAAUGUAUGUGUGUCUGGGGCAAUGUAUGUGUGUCUGGGGCAGUGUGUGUGUAUGGGGGGCAGUGUAUGUGUAUGGGGCAGUGUAUGUGUGUGUGGGGGGCAAUGUGUGUGUGGGGGCAUUGUGUGUGUGUGGGGGGGCAGUGUGUGUAUGUGGGGCAGUGUGUGUGUGUGUAUGUGGGGCAAUGUAUGUGUGGGCAGUCUACAGGGAGUGCAGAAUUAUUAGGCAAGUUGUAUUUUUGAGGAUUAAUUUUAUUAUUGAACAACAACCAUGUUCUCAAUGAACGCAAAAAAACUCAUUAAUAUCAAAGCUGAAUAUUUUUGGAAGUAGUUUUUAGUUUGUUUUUAGUUAUAGCUAUGUUAGGGGGAUAUCUGUGUGUGCAGGUGACUAUUACUGUGCAUAAUUAUUAGGCAACUUAACAAAAAACAAAUAUAUACCCAUUUCAAUUAUUUAUUAUUACCAGUGAAACCAAUAUAACAUCUCAACAUUCACAAAUAUACAUUUCUGACAUUCAAAAACAAAACAAAAACAAAUCAGUGACCAAUAUAGCCACCUUUCUUUGCAAGGACACUAAAAAGCCUGCCAUCCAUGGAUUCUGUCAGUGUUUUGAUCUGUUCACCAUCAACAUUGCGUGCAGCAGCAACCACAGUCUCCCAGACACUGUUCAGAGAGGUGUACUGUUUUCCCUCCUUGUAAAUCUCACAUUUGAUGAUGGACCACAGGUUCUCAAUGGGGUUCAGAUCAGGUGAACAAGGAGGCCAUGUCAUUAGAUUUUCUUCUUUAUACCCUUUCUUGCCAGCCACGCUGUGGAGUACUUGGACGCGUGUGAUGGAGCAUUGUCCUGCAUGAAAAUCAUGUUUUUCUUGAAGGAUGCAGACUUCUUCCUGUACCACUGCUUGAAGAAGGUGUCUUCCAGGAACUGGCAGUAGGACUGGGAGUUGAGCUUGACUCCAUCCUCAACCCGAAAAGGCCCCACAAGCUCAUCUUUGAUGAUACCAGCCCAAACCAGUACUCCACCUCCACCUUGCUGGCGUCUGAGUCGGACUGGAGCUCUCUGCCCUUUACCAAUCCAGCCACGGGCCCAUCCAUCUGGCCCAUCAAGACUCACUCUCAUUUCAUCAGUCCAUAAAACCUUAGAAAAAUCAGUCUUGAGAUAUUUCUUGGCCCAGUCUUGACGUUUCAGCUUGUGUGUCUUGUUCAGUGGUGGUCGUCUUUCAGCCUUUCUUACCUUGGCCAUGUCUCUGAGUAUUGCACACCUUGUGCUUUUGGGCACUCCAGUGAUGUUGCAGCUCUGAAAUAUGGCCAAACUGGUGGCAAGUGGCAUCGUGGCAGCUGCACGCUUGACUUUUCUCAGUUCAUGGGCAGUUAUUUUGCGCCUUGGUUUUUCCACACGCUUCUUGCGACCCUGUUGACUAUUUUGAAUGAAACGCUUGAUUGUUCGAUGAUCACGCUUCAGAAGCUUUGCAAUUUUAAGAGUGCUGCAUCCCUCUGCAAGAUAUCUCACUAUUUUUGACUUUUCUGAGCCUGUCAAGUCCUUCUUUUGACCCAUUUUGCCAAAGGAAAGGAAGUUGCCUAAUAAUUAUGCACACCUGUUAUAGGGUGUUGAUGUCAUUAGACCACACCCCUUCUCAUUACAGAGAUGCACAUCACCUAAUAUGCUUAAUUGGUAGUAGGCUUUCGAGCCUAUACAGCUUGGAGUAAGACAACAUGCAUAAAGAGGAUGAUGUGGUCAAAAUACUCAUUUGCCUAAUAAUUCUGCACUCCCUGUAUUAGUUUUGCUCUAUAUGUAUAUGAGCUACCUGAUGGACCCUCAAGGCCCACAUUCUGCCUAUUUGUAUUAUGACUUUCACAGUAAAAAUACCAUGCUGUACUUGAAAAAUUUAAUUCCUUAAUUUCUCACAUUUGUUUUUUUAGAUUUUAUACAUAUUAAAUAUGUUUCAUAUAUAAAUAGUUGAUGUGAAAAUAAAACUCUGUUUUCCUGAACAAAAUUAUAUAUAAUAAGUGUUGCUGGACUUGAUGACACACAUAAAACACUCACACACACACUGACAGACACAAACACUCACUGACACACACUUACUGACAGACUCGCACUCACUCACUGACAGACACACAUUGACAUACACACACACUCACAGACACACACUGACAGACAUACACACAUAUUAACUGACAAACACACACACACAAACUCACUGAGAGAAACACAUAUUCACUAACAGUGAAUGUGUGUGUGUCAUUGUGUGUCUGUCAGUGAAUGUGUGUUUCUGUCAGUGAGUUUGUGUGUUUCUGACAGACACACUCAAUCAGACACACUGACAGAUAUAAACACACACUCACUGACACACACACACUCACCGACAGACACACACUGAUUGACAUACACACACACAUUCACUGACAGACACACACAAAUUUCCCCCCAACAUUUACAAAUUAUUAUUUAUUUUUAUUUAAAUCCACCCUGGUAGAGCUGGGUGGAUUUUAUCUGGGGUUCAGUGUGCAGAAAGGCAGGCAGGAGGGCGGGCAUCCGGGGGGCAGGUGAGUGCACAAAAUAGGCGGCGAGGGAGAUGUGAUCUUCCUGCUCAGCUCCUUCACUCACUGCUUAGUGAUGCCGAGUGCCGGAAUGACGUCACUGCGGCAUCACAAAUUGGCGGCAUCACAAGCCGGCCAGCUCUUGGGCCCCCAUCAAACAAGGCUAACAAGGGAUUUGUCCGGGUGCUUGGGGGGGGGCAGGGUUUUUUGCCGGCCCCUGAAAAGUGCUGCCCAAUGUAAUUGUCUUGUUAGUCUUGCAGUAAAUACAGCGCUGUGCAGAGUGCCUAUCACUGAUGGCAAAGCAGCAAAACACGGACAUUAUGCCCAUUAUGUUUACCUUGGAGCAGUGAAAUAUCCUCUCAUUAGUUUAGAAUGGUCCUUCCUUAUUUAAUCAGUAAAUACAUGUAUGUCAGACCACGCCUACACCAAACUCUGCUUUCAAGUGGAAAUUGCAAUGUGAACUCUAUGCCAUGAGUGACACACCAUAAGAGACCAAGGGGAGCACUCACUAAGAAAAAAGUGGCCAGUGUAUGUAUGACUAGAUAUCACUUAUCCCUUGCUAUAUAGAUGUUCUGUACUCAUGUUUCAUAAUUCUUUGUGAAUAGAACUUGUUUUACAAUGUGAAAACAAUUGUUUGACUUUCAGUAUGCUAAUAAACACAUAAUUUAUAAUAAACUUUAUAGGAAGUGACAGUUCCUAUUUAAAGGGGCACUAUAGUCACCAGAACCACUAUAGCUUGAGGUGCUUCCUAGUCUAGUGCUGCACAGUGUCUUAACCCACUGCAUGGAGACACUGAACGUUCCCCAUAAUAUGCAUUGAUUUAUGCCGCACAUGCGAAAUAGGCUCCCUGUACUUUCCAAUGGGAAAGCUUUGGAUUGAGCGAGAUCAUCUAGAUUGAUAAUCUCAGCCACGGAGCCAAAGCCAGUCACAGCGAGACUGGCUUGGCGUGGGAGAAAAAAAUUAUUAUAAUCAACCUUAAACUCAACAAAGAUGGGGGCUGGAGACCUAAUGAUUUAUUCCACCACUAUACCCUAUAGUGGAGGACGUACAAUAGUAUAAUUAGUGGAGGACGUACAAUAUACACUGACAAAUACAAAAGGUAGAGUAAGCUGACAUCUAGCCAGUUAAGCUCUUAGCUAGGCAGCCUGUGAGCUUACAUUGUAAAGGAUACAGUGGGGAUUUGAUACAAGAGGUAACAGGGGAAAUUUGAAAGUCAUGGCUAAAAGAAGUUGACAGAGAGUAGCAGCUAUUGGUAAAAUAUUAUGGAAAUGAAGAGGUAAUUGAGUGAGAAUCUCAAACAGCUGGAGGAGCAUGCUAUAUAUUUAGGGGGAGUGCUGGGGAAAAAUGCAGAGCUUGAAUAUUUUCGGUUAUGUGAGUGUGAGGUAAGGCCUGAAGAACAGAGAUUGUGAUAGAACAGUUACAUGAAGGUAUUUACAGCCAGGAGGGCAUAGGAAAAGGGUGGGGAAGAGUAUAGUAGCCAUGUGUUGUAUACAAUUGAAAAGUUUAGCAACCAAAUUCUAACAACCAAAAUAUUAAUAACUGUGUACAUGAAAUAUUGGUCAGAAACAUUAAAUGACAAUAAUAUCUGCAUGCACAGAAAAUUACAGUGGCAAACUACAUUCUAUAUUAACACAUGAUAAUAUGGAAGCAAUGCAGGAAUAAAUGAGGUGGAGUAUCUUCCAAGCUUCCGUAAGUACUUGGGAGUUGUAGGAUUUGCUUCAGGAUGUUAAAUGUUCCUGUUGAAUAUAAUGGUCUGUUUUUAAAUAUAGGAUGGAGCUGUAUUUAUUUUUGGUUUAUUUCUGUAACGUGCCAUAGAGCCUACAUUUACUGCUGUUUACUUCUUUUACUUUUGUGCUUAUCUUUUUAAUUUACGUUACAUAUAUCACUAAAUACAGUGAAAUAUUGGAAUAUUGAAGAGAUAGUAUUGAGGUGUAUUAUGGUGCAGAACAAAGGAAGAGCAUGCAUACAUUCUCAUGAUAACAGAGGAAGAUAAUUGUUGUAAUUCGUUAUUACAAUAUAGUUUAAUUUAUGAUGUGUGAGCUUUAGAUAUAUGACAAAAUACGUGGACCUCAAAAAAAUAUAGCCAUCCAUUCGAAAAAUUUUCUAGAGUAAAGGUUUUAAAAUGUUGGCAUUUUACCAUUAAAUUAUUAAGCAGAUACAGAAAAAAAAUCCAUUCAUACAACAGAAAUCUUUUGGGAAAUAGUUUUUAAUUAUUUAUCAAAGUUCUAGAAACAUUAUCAUUAAUUGUGCUAAUUUGGCAUUGUUCCUUUCAAUUUGAAAUAAAGGACUGCUUUUAUAAAUAAUUUGGGUUCACACAGUGUCUAUAAAUGUGUAAUGCAUAAUUAAAAUAUCCUCAGUAUCCAAGUAAUUAAGAUACUAGAGGCAAAAGUAGCUCAUUUGUGAGGCACUCACUAAAUGUAGACCUUAAUCCCUGUGACCUAAUGAUAUCUGCAUAAUUUCCAUUUAUCAUUCAAUGUGAAAACUUCUAUGUUUUUUUUUGUUAUGAAGUUGCCAAAUCUGACAGGAAAAAUUAUAAUAUUUUGAAGCAAUGAUGUUGGAUUGUAAUUCUCUGCCAUCACUUGUAGCAGUAUUUUAGGAUAAUAUAUACCGCAUUUCCACAGUUGUUCAUAAUGUUAAUUAUGUAAGGCUAUGGCAGCCCUUGAAGGCUGAUUUGGACUUGCUUAUUAAGGUGAUUUGAUCUAUGGCAUACUUUUAUUGAAAACAUAGACAUUUAUAUGCUUGUUCCACCAGGGAACUUAAAGGGCCACUGUAGGCACCCAGACCACUUCAGCUCAAUGAAGUGGUUUGGGUGCCAGGUCCCUCUAGUUUUAACCCUGCAGCUGAAAACAUAGAAGUUUCCAAGAAACUGCUAUGUUUCACUGAGGGUUAAUCCAGCCUCUAGUGGCUGUCUCGCUGAGAGCCGCUAGAGGCGCCUCCGCGAUUCUAACUUUGAAAAUCACAGUGAGAAGACGCUGGACCUAUGGGCGGUUUGAAUGCGCAUGCGCUUUCGGAGCUGAUGUCGGCAGAGGGAGGAGAGUUCCCCAAUGCCGAGGGAGCCCGGCGCUAGAGAAAGGUUUUAACCCAUUCAACCCAGCAGGAAGGGGGCUGUGAGAGUGGGAGGGACCUAAUGACCCUAUAAUGUCAGGAAAAUAAGUUUGUUUUACUGGCACUAUAGUAGUCCUUUAAAGUCCCCUCUAGAUAGCGUUAAAUAAAGCAGAUAUAAAAUUGGUGUAAUUGGUUAUUGUCAGAUAAAUGUGUUCCUCUAUAAGCUGGUAAUCAUUCCUGGAAUAUAAAUGUAGGUAUAUGAAGCUUUAUUUAUACUUUCUAUUUUUUUUUUUUUAUGGAGUUAAAGAAACUCACACUCUGGAUGACGUCUACGCUAUUUAACUUUUAAUUCUUUUGAAAAUAAAACCUUUUAAUACAGAUCUUUUGUUUUAUUAUUAAGUUAUAAUAAUAGAUUGGACAUUUUUAUGAAUAAACAAGUGAAGGCUAUUAUCAAUCUACUGUUCUAGUCACUAUCUGUUAAAUGUGUAGUAGUUGUCUAUAAAUUAGAACUAUAAAUGUUAACAUAAUCUUUUUGGUAAUGUAUAUUUAACAAGCUUUUAUAUGCAUGUAUGUUUAAACUCGAUUGGGGAAAUGUAUUAUAAUAAGUAUUUUCUAACUGUGCUGACUGUAAAACAUGUCUAAAUGCAGAAAUCUCUGAUUUGUAGAAUAAAAUGUGACGCCACUAUGGAAAUUCAGACCUAAUAAGUAUAGAAUUAAAUAAAAGAUGUUAUCAGACACUGUUCAAUGACAGUGCAGUACAAUGAACAUUGUAUAUAGAGUGAGGCAAGUGUCCAGCAGAGUUAAAACAGAAUGAAUGCAAGAUUUUGAUUUGAAAAAGAAAUAUAUUUUCUUUAUGUAUGCUUCUUGGGUAUAUAAUACUGUUAUAAUAUAAUUGUAGAGGUUCACUGAGUAGGCUUGUGACUAAUUUCUACAUUCAACCACCACAGUUUUACCGUAUAUAAAAUAGUAUUCCAUAUAAAUCACUAAAUAUUCUAUGAUAACAACUAAACAGAGCUAAGCCUGCAUCACCCUAAAUACACUAUAUAGUUUGUAGAAACGAAUUAUGAAGGGCAUGUAUUUAUCAAUCGAUGCAAUCCUUUAUUUAAUAAAUGACUGGUAUAUGGAAAAAGUUGCAAUAACAAAUGUACUGUUGUAUUUUCCUUAUUUGCACCUUAACAUUCAAAAAAAAUGUAAUACCGAAUAUAAUUGAGCUACUAAGAUAAAUAUUGAUACACACAGUAAAUAUUACGUAUCACUUCACUAACAUCAUCAAACAGUUCUAAUUUUCAAAUAUAUUUAGCAGUUGUAAUGUGUUCUAACAGCUGGCUGUUUGAUUAGUAAAUUACUACUAUACUAGUGUUGAAUGCAAAAAAAGUAGUAAUUAUUUGUUAAUGUCCUUUUGCCAUUUAUUAACACAUGCUUCAAGAACAUAUUAUUUUUUUGUACAUAGACUUUAGAUGUUUAGAUGUUUUGAAAUGCUUGAUUCCAGAGGUGUGUAUGUUGUGUUUCUAUCGAUAUAUGUACAUUAAAGAAACUUCACUGACAAAGUAUUAGAGCAACAUGACUAAAAAAAUUGUCCGAGCUUGCCAAGUUCACAUUUUGCAGGGUUCUACUUCGAUCCAGAAGGUUUCAACUCUUGAUUGACUCUAACCUAGCCUCCGGCCUUUAUUAUUCUUUGAUGAUGUUGACUUUUCUUAUUGGUUUUGUUUCUAGGGUUUGUUAGUUUUUUUGAAAGUUCCACUUUUUUUGUCUCUCACUUAUUUAAAGAUAGGUUCCUUUUAAAUAUAUAUUGUUUUUUUGUUUGUUUGUUUUCUCAAUAUCUCAAUAUGCUGGGGUAUCAGGACUCUUUUUCCAAGCUAUUUUGAGCCACUCUCUUGCCAGGUACUGAACCCCCAAUUGAUAGUUAUCCUAACUGUAUGUCCUCACACUAUUACCAUUGUGCACCUACUAUUAAGUUGUAAAAUGUGGCAGGUCUUAACAAUCCAGUAAAUAGUGAAUUGUUUCUAACACAUCUCUAUAGAUUUUGACGCAAAGUUACCUCUUAACAAGAAACACAUUGGAAAUGUAAACAACCCUCCUCCCUAAUAUCUAAAUGGAUCUCAAAUAGCAUAUAUGUCUAAUCCAAGUGUUGUGGCCAUAUUUCUCCAUCCCUACUGAAACCCUCCUGGGUGAGUAAUUACUAACUCAAGCAACAUUUCUGCCCCCAAAUCAAUCUAACCAAAAUGUUUGGAGUAACUCUAUAUAUUUUACCACAAUCAAAGCAUGGAAACAAGAAUUCAACUCAAUCUUCACUGGCAAUACUCACAUUCAUUUCUGAUCAAAAUUUCCAAAACAACCCCAGAUUUUUUGGUCCUGGCAUCAGGAUUUCCUAUCAUUAUUUGGGCACUAGCAUCAGGAUUUCAUAUCAUUAUCACAAUUAUGGGACUAGUCUCCCUCACUCCAGAUCCCUCUUUUUCUCUAUUUACAAACUAGACGCUUUAUCUCUACAGUUCUACCACAUCAACAGAACAGUGACUGGACUAACCCACUGCACUGUAUUGUAUUGGAAGAAAGAGAGAGGGGCUAUGGGGUGGGGAAACCACCACCACUACCCCACAAAAAGGUUACAGAGGUACAAGGGGCGUAACCCCACAAUAUAUAUAGAAAAAAAAGAGACAAAAAAUGGGGCAGACAGUCCACUCACAAAAAAGUGGGUGGAAUGCCUAGCCUCAUUCAAAGUACCUCAUAAUGUAAAUAGUCACAUAGAAGAGGAUAAACAACCUUUAUUAGAAAAAAAUGCUAAAAUGGUAUAUAGUCCAAAUACUAUUACCAUACACUAAAAUAGUGUAUUGAUUAUAAGUUAACCACCAAAUUUGUAAAAGCCUGGGAGAGGCUAAUCCUGCAAGGUAUGUUUGACUUAAUAAAGGUGUAAAAAUACACCUAAAAUAAUAAAUGGGUAACAAAGCAGGUUAGUCUAAAUCCAUUCUAGGAAAGAACCCAACUGGGUAAUUGGAUAGAAAAAGGAUGGUCUUAGAGCAGUGUCUGAGAGAAUCUGGAACUUACUUCUAAACAACCUUCUAACAGUACAUGGCUCGGUAGAAAAAUCCCUGUAGGUUCUUUUGGCUGUGGGAGAUGUGUGACUUGUAAAUUUAUCCUUAGAGAUUCGAAAGAGGUGAUGGAUAGUUAAGGUAAACAAUCCUUCCAGAUUACCCACUUCUUUAAUUGCAACUCAGUAGGGGUUAUAUACCUGCUUACCUGUAGUUGCAAGUUGCCUGAAAUGCUGGUAGGAGGCAGUGGUUUGUAUAGAUUUUCAAUGCCACUUCCCCAGCUAAGGCAUUUUUUUUUCAAACAGCCCCAAACUGCUCUAUGUUAAUUCAAAUGUAUUGACAGCUGCCAGGAAAAUCGUUCAUUAUAUUUGGAUUUCAUUGUACAAGCAAACUCUGACAUUAAGCAAAACUAAAUAAGCUUAUGUGUUAAAAUUGGACUAAGUAGAAGCCUCUUAGUUCAGGUAAUAUAAGGUUGCAAUAUUGGGAGCCAUACGUACAAGCUUUAGAUACACGUAUUAAACACCUUUUUCACCAUACAUUUCUACAUAUCAAUUUAUAUUCUUUAAGACUACUCUGUGGGAGACAUCCAGUUUAACUUGGAUAGUGGAGAGGGAUAGAGUAUAUUUGAUAACACUUUUAUCUGGCAAAUGUUUUUUCUCUCUAUUUUGGGAAUGGGAUUAUUCUAUACUUUAAUAUGGAACUGAUUUUGAUUAUUAGGUUAUAUUGAAUGUUUGUUUUAAUAAAUGUUAUUUUUUUUUUUUGGGUUUCUUUUAAUAACUUUGCCAUGGCAAUAUUUCUUUGGGUGUUUGGUUAUGUAAUCCCAGCACCCACUGUGUUGUUUUGUUUGUUUGUUUUAUUUAAAACAAUACAAUAUAUGAAAACUCCCUGGUCAUUUUACACCAGUAUACAAUAAAGUAAAUAUUCACAACUAUUUUUUAACCAGUAAUUUAUGGCUACAUGCACAAACAUUUGUUGAGUUUCUUCUUUAUCUAUGUUUAAUCUGGAUUGGUUGAUUUUGCAUUUUAUUUCCAAUAGAGGGUCCCAGUUCUACUUUAAUUGUACCUUAGCAACCAAUUUCAUUUUAUUUAGGUGUUGGCAGUUAAAUCAAUUAAAAAGGUACAAUUAUGUGAAAAUGUACUUUUAUAUAUCUCAAAAUGCUGUGCUUUUUUUUAUGAUAAUGGUACUUGAGUGACUAAUGGUAUACGGUAUUAUUCAAGUGUAAAAGGAUUUAAAAAAAUGUCUGUCUGCGACAGAGGAUGAAGCACGUUUGUGGAAAACAUUAAGAUGAUCUUUCAGAAAGUCUGGUGUUUACACUGCUGUCAUGUCAAAUUAUAAAUUGUUAGAAACGGCUUGGGCACUUGGCAAAGACCUUCUGUGUGUUUUUGUUCCAAAUGAUCAUUUUUCAUUUUUGAAGUCUGAAGGAUGCAAACAAUUUCAUUAACUUUAAAGCUGAAAUGAAAAAGGAACAGAUAGAACCAUAUUAAUAUUCUAAAUUAGCAUUGUGCACUGCACUGCUGCUAUUUGAACAUAACGCCAAUUUGUGAUGUUGAUAAGGAAAAAAUUUCCAGACUUUCAGAAAACUCUCAAAAAAAAAUCUCAAGUAAUCAUUUUGUCAUAAUAGCAAUCCUCUGUCAUGAUACAUUUUGAGGAUUUUGUUUGUUUGCUUGUUUGUGUGUUUUAAAACUUUACUUAAAGGGACUCUGUAGUCACCAGAACAACUACAGCGUAUUGCAUUUGUCCUGGUGAGUAGAAUCAUUACCUUCAGGCUUUUUGCUGUAAACACUGUCUUUUCAGAGAAAAUGUUGUGUUUACAUUACAGCCUAGUGAUAACUUCACUGGCCACUCCUUAGAUGGCUGCUAGAGCUGCUUCAUAUCUCAAUCUUGUCUAGUUUGAAUCUCAGCAUUCAGUAUCUCCUCCCUCUGGUUUCAGAUACUGAACUUUCUUCAUAUAGAUUAAUUGAUUCAAUUCAUCUCUAUGAAGUGAUGCUGAUUUGUGUGGGCUGUGUUUGACUUGUGCUGGCUCUGCCCUGAUCUGCAUCCUUCACAGUCUCAGCCAAUCCUAUGGGGAACCAUUGUGAUUGGCUCAGAACAACACUUCUGAUGAUGUCAGCAGGCAGCUCGCUGUUCUGAGGCAAACAGGGACAAAACCAGCAGCUGCAGGCUUGAAUAGAGGUAAGAUUUUACUAUAUUUAGGGAUUCAAGAGGGGGCCAGGGGGGCUAGAUGGGGACUUUACAACUAUAGGGUUAGAAAUAUAUGUUUGUGUUCCUAACCCUAUAGUGCUUCUUUAAACCAACAUUCAUUUCCACCCUUAAAAUAUCUAAUUUGUUAUAUCCACUGAUAAUUAAGAUGUCCCUUAAAGGGACACUAUAGUCACCAAAACAACAAGCUUAAUUAAGCAGUUUUGGUGUAUAGAUCAUGUCCCUGCAGUCUCACUGCUCAAUUCUCUGCCAUUUAGGAGUUAAAUCACUGUACCCUAGUCACACCUCCCUGCAUGUGACUUGCACAGCCUUCCUAAACACUUCAUGUAAAGAAUCAUCUAAAAUUCAUCCUUCCUUUAUUGCAAGUUCUGUUUAAUUCAGAUUUUCUUAUCCCUUGCUAUGUUAAUAGCUUGCUAGACCCUGCAAGAGCCUACAAAAGCUUGAGAAAUUAAGAUUUUUUAAAUCCUGUUUAGUUCUGCGUGGCAUUUUAAUUGCGAAUGUCAUAAUACUGUUAGUUUUUACUACAAUAAAAUGCACAUAUUUGUAUUCAGCGAUAUCUCGUGUACAGGUUUUAUGGUUUUUUGGAAAGUUACAAAGUACAAAGUAUACUCUGGAGACUUUGCUGAACACAAAUAUGAGUGUUUCAAAACAGUAAAACAUAUCACAACAAUAUCGUCAGUGAAAAUGCCGUUUGUGUGUGAAAAAUGCAAAAAAAACUCACUUUCACUGUCAAUAUCAUCGCUGUGAUAUGUUUUACUGUUUUGAAACACUAAUAUUUGUGUUCAACAAAGCCUUCCGAGUAAAACAUUAUCCACCAUGUACAGGUUUUAGGUUGUCUUGGAAAGUUACAGGGUUAAAUAUAGUGCUGGCAAAUUAAAUUCUCUGCUUUUUCUUCCUGGGUUGUCAGGCAGGCCCCUUCAAAUUGCAAUCAAUAAAAUUACUUAAUUAUGUAAAAAUAUUACAUAAAUAUGCACGUGGAAUUUAAAUAUAUAUACAUAUUUAUAUAUUUGAAGUCUACAUGUAUAUUUAUGAAAUUAUUUAAGUAAUUAUUUAUAUGGAUAUAUAUAUAUAUAUAUACAUAUAUAUAUAUAUAUAGUAUUUUUUUAUUUACUUAUAUAUACAUAGAUAUAUAUAACUCCAUUGUAAGUAUAUUUUGAGAUAUAUGUAUAUAUAUAUAUACAUAUAUAUAUAUACAUAUAUACAGUUAAAAUAAAAUUAUAUUAUUAUUACACUUUUUUAUUUAAUUUUAUUUAUGGUACUUAUUAAUUAUAUUUUAUCAUUUUAUAUAUAUGUGUGUGUGUAAUUUAAUUAUGUGUAUUUUUAUAUUAAUAUAAAAAUACACUUAGUAUUACAUUAUAUAUAUAAGAUAUAUAUACAUAUUAUAUAUGGAUAUAAUAUACGUAUAUAUAUAUAUAUAUAUAUAAUACAAAUUUCCUUGCACUCACGCUCAAUGUUCUUUGUAAAUAGCCAAUAGGCUCGCCGGGUGCCAGUCCUUGUAGGGAAAUUAGUAUAAGCAAAUUGAAGGUGUAGGCUGCACUCACGGUCUUAUAAAUUCAAUAGUGUUUUAUUUCAUCAGAUAGCAGAUCAACGUUUCGGUCCUCGCAGGGACCUUCCUCAGGAUCAAGUGACAUAAAAAUAAACUCAAACAACUUCCAAUAUAUAGCAACGUACAUUAUGAUUAAGUGACUUACCCCAGGUGCAAUGUAUAAUCCCCUGCGUUCACCACUGAACACCGCGCAUCUGCGCCCAACUGAGUGCCCUCACGCUGACCUAUCUGAUGAAAUAAAACACUAUUGAAUUUAUAAGACCGUGAGUGCAGCCUACACCUUCAAUUUGCUUAUACUAAUAUCCCUACAAGGACUGGCACCCGGCGAGCCUAUUGGCUAUUUACAAAGAACAUUGAGCGUGAGUGCAAGGAAAUUUGUAUUAUUUAUAUUCAUUAUUUGGAGUUUAAAGGGAAAAGCUCUGCCUAUGCACCAGCACUAUUGUAAAAUGGUGUUUUAAGCCAAUUAUUAACUAUAACUUCCUAUAUCAGCAUUUUUGCAUUGAAUUUGGGAUUUAUCCAGAAAUGAGAAAUGGAUGAUUUUUUUAUUGCAAGCGGGAGCAUAUGCCGAGAGUGCAGAAACUCUGCAAUUUACACCGGAAGAGACAAAGGCUAUAUUAUGGGAUAAGUCCAGUUUGGAAUUUACUACACAAUAUAACAAUAAGGAUAUUUGCUUUCAACUUUUAAAACUUCAUAAAAAAGCAGUGGACCUAGACCUACACGGUGUGUUUCUCUCUGAUUAUUUAAAAUCUAAACAAAUCCCUAGGGGGUUCAGAAUUAUGAAUGUCCCCACAAUAGGCAGACUAAAGCCACAGAUAUGUAGGGAAUGGAAACAGGUUCUAAACAAAGCAUCUCUUGAUUUGAUGUUGAUUAUAAUUAAAGAUGUUAGAUCGGACUUGGCAGAAGUACGUCAAAAAAUUGUGGAGACAGAAAUGCAACAUGCACUGUUAUUAAAUGCGGCAGAGGGCAUUAAAUUGCAACAAAACCUGAAGGAAGAAGCUGCUAAAUAUCAAAAUGAAUUAAUCAAAUUUAAAAAACAAAGAUUAGAACAUGUCAAGCAGGACUACAGAGAACAACAUAAGUCGCUCUCAGGGGGACAACAAAGACCUAGACGUCCCACUUCUGGUGAGUCAGCCUUAGAUAAUGAAACCACCAGACAACAACAAAAAGGUUUUUUAGAACCAAUAGGGGGAUCAACUGUAACAAGCAGCCGGUUGAAAAGCCAAGAAGAGCACACAUCAGGAGAGGACAGGGGGGCAAGACCUUUGAGCAAUCACUCAAAACCUCCAAGGAAGUAAUACCUAUUUUCAACUUAUCAGAGAGAAAAUUAACACCAGAUGAAGAACAAAUCCUCAGCAAAGGCCUCUCUUUUGUCCCGACCUCCAAACCACAUUUAUUUAAAUGGAACAUAGAAAUGUUCCAAUUUGGAAGAAAUCUAUGUCUGAAAGACUAUUAUGCAAGGAAAUCUGUUCAAUCUAACUUACCUGUGGUCCAACAACAUGGAAGUAUAAAGUCUAAAUCAACUUUUGACCCUAUUACAAACAACCCAUCCUUGAAGACAUACAUCUGCACAGUAAUGAAUGAAACUAGAUCACAGAUAAUCAAACACAAGAGGCAACGUCAAAAUUUGACUAACAAACAUAGGAAACUUAUUUAGAAUUUGGCAGUUGACCCAAAUAUUAUAAUACGUCCAGCUGAUAAGGGUGGUGGUAUUGUGGUCAUGCAAUAUACGGAUUAUGCACUAGAAUUAAGGCGACAACUACAAUGCCACCUUACCUACAAGCAAUUAAGCAAAGAUCCCACAUGGGAUAUACAGCGAAGAAUUGAAGACAUACUGAACAUGGGAGUGAUGGCAGGGUACAUUGAACCCAAACCAGCUGAGGUUUUGUACAAUAAAUAUCCUAAAAUACCUGUCAUCUACACCAUCCCUAAAUUGCACAAGGAUCCAACACAUCCCCCUGGACGACCGAUAGUCACGGCAGUGGGGGGUGUGUUGGAACCAAUUGCAAAAUGGUUGGACAUACUAUUCAAACAACCAGUAUUGGAUCUGGAUACAUGCAUUAAGGAUACACAUACAUUAAUUAAGAAGCUAACAUCAUUACAGUUGAAUGGUAAUCCAAUUGUAUUAAUCACUAUGGACGUUAAAAGCCUCUAUACGGUCAUUCCCCAUACACAAGGUGUUGAAACCAUGAGACAAGUCCUUACACACUCUUCGUCUUAUAAAGGCCCUGCUAUAGAUUAUACACUUCAACUAUUAGAUUUGGCAUUAACUAAUAAUUACUUCAGAUUUGAAGAAGAUUGUUUUUUGCAAAUAGCGGGAACAUCCAUGGGGGCAGCGAUGGCCCCCAUAUAUGCCAAUGUAUUUAUGUAUAUAUAUAUAUAUAUAUAUAUAUGAAGUAACAGAUAUAUUUCCAAUCUAUGGGGACAAAAUCAUGCAAUUUUACAGAUUUAUUGAUGAUCUAUUAUUAAUCUGGACAGGCACCGUACAAUAGGCACAACAGAUGGUUGACAAUUUGAAUAAAUUAGAUAGCCCAAUCAGGUUUACUUCGGAAAUAAGUACAGAUAAAUAAAAAAUUUUAGACCUUCAAUUUUGGACUGAAAAUGAUAGUUUUCAAUAUUCUCUUUAUACAAAACCGACUGACCGCACGCUUCUGCACGCACAGACUGCACACCCUGAACGACUAAAAGCCUCCUUGCCUAAAGUACAGUUUCUAAGAACAAUACGAAAUAAUUCUAGUGAGGAGAAGAGAGAAGAACAAUUAUUGCAAAUGAAAGACAAAUUUGCAGCUCGGGGAUAUAAGAAUGCACAGUUGAAUCAGUCCUUGAAGCAAGCAAGAGAAUUCAGCCCAAGGAAUACCACAGAGGUACAGAGCCAAAUAGUAUGUCCAAUCACAUAUAAUGAUACGGCCAUCAAGUUAUCCAAUACCAUUAUAAGAAAUUGGAAUAUGUUGGCACAAGACACUACACUACCUCCAAUUUUCAGACAAAAGCCACUUAUAUGCUAUAAGCGCAAUGGAAACUUGCGCGACAUUUUGGUGAAAACUGAUCCCACACAAAGUUAUAUGCGAGCUGAGAAUAUCCAGAUACGGGGUAGUGUUAGAUUCCUUGGCUGCGUGACCUGCAGUCAUAUGGUGCCAUCACACACCUUUAACCAUCCACAUACUAAUGAAAAAUUCCAUAUCAAUUAUACGAUUACUUGAAAAACGUCAUUUGUUAUAUAUAAACUAUCUUGUCCUUGUGGCCUAUCAUAUAUAGGCAAGACUGAAACCUCAUUAUGUGAUCGUAUACGUGAGCAUCGAUCAAAUAUUCGGAUUGCCUAAAGGGAUGGAAAGAGCGACAAGCCAGUUAUAAAGCACUUGUUGGACCUACAGCAUCCACUUACGUCGCUAAAAUUCACUGCAAUUGAUCAUAUCCCAGAGCCACGCAGAGGAGGAGAUAGUGGGAAGUUGCUACUCAAUAGAGAAACCUUUCGGAUAUUCAAACUUGACACGGUCUCUCCCAGAGGACUUAAUGAAAUGAUAACGUAUCAUUCUUUUUUGUAGCAAAAGCUCAUCUUGUAAUAAUAAGGUUUUAAUGUAUUUGGGGCGUUUAGUUAUAACUGUUAGAUUCACUCUAUAAGUGCUUUAAAAAAGCAGUUAUUCUGCGAAAAGGGUGAAUUACCUUAUUAAUAUAAUCACUGUAGAUAAUAGUGAUAAACAUAAUUCUAAGAAUAAUGAUGUUAUUGUUUCCGCCCUUAUACUAAUUAGAAUAAUUAUAUUAAUGAUUGACAUGCUGGUACAAGUUCAUAUAACACUAAGUCAGACCAGAAUUAUAGUGAUUUUUACAGUUAGUUCUGUUUGGCUUAAAGGUGGCACUGAAUUCUAGAUUUUGCCACUUUUCCAAAUAGUAAGGAAGUACUUGAAAAGUUUAUAUAUCUCUUUAGGUUUUGUAAACAAGAGUUCAUUCAUCAUUGUAUAUGCAGGCUUAGUGUUGUGGGCUUAAUGUAAAUAUGUAAAUUAUUAUUAAAUGCAGUGUAUAUAUUUAGGAUGCAAAGGAGUAACUCCAGGCAAAGUAUGUUAGGACAAAUUGUGUCCAUCAUACAAUAGUUUAUUCUUUACUGAUGAAAGCAGUUUAUGUCUUUAAACUAUAUUGAAUAUAACACUCCUACUUUGGAUCGAUAACUUACAUUAUUUACAUGUGUGCAGUGGCAUGUUAAAUCAUAGUUUUCUAAAGCUUUUUAUCUAUUUCAUUCACUUUUCUUCUUAUUACUGUACUUUCACCAUGUUGGGUUAUUUUCUCUAUGUCACUCACUUCCUUUUUUGAUCCGCAGCGGCUCCCAUAGUGAUGUGUACAAACGUAGCUAAGGCAACAAUAUAUAGCAACAUAUAUUAUGAUUAAGUGACUUACCCCAGGUGCAAUGUAUAAUCCCCGGCGUUCACCACUGAACACCGCGCAUGUGCGCCAAACUGAUUGCCCUCACGCUGACCCGCGGCCCUUGCGUGAUGAUGUAACAAACACGUUGUUGCCUUAGCUACGUUUGGAUACUGUGCUCAAACAGCCUUCUGUCUGCUGAGCUGCAAAUUGCAAUACUGCAGAGCCUUCCUCCCUGCCAGGCUGUGCUGGAUACAGGACCAGUGCAGAGCCUUCCUCCCUGCCAGGCUGUGCUGGAUACAAAACCAGUGCAGAGCCUUCCUCUUUGCCAGGUUGUGCUGGAUACAGGACACAAAAAAAAUGUUAAUAAAUUACUAAAUAAAUAAAUAUAUAUAUAUAUAUAUAUAUAUAUAUAUAUAUAUAUAUUUAUUUAUUUAAUAAUUUAUUAACAUUUUUUUAUUUAAACAGAAGCAGGGAGCCUGCCUGUCAGUUCAGGCACUCCCCCUGCAGGCAGCACUAUGGACGCCUUUUGCGAUCACAUGGCCCGUAGGGGCCUAAUUUGCCAAGCGGGGACUGUCUGGGUUGUCAGACAGUCCCCCCAGGACCGGGAGGAACACCGAUCCCCAGCCGGGGAACGGCGAGGAUCAGGUAAGUGGGGUGGAUGGUGGAGAUGUUCUAUGCAGCCCGCCUGCGUUUAGGCUCGGCUCCUUAAUGACAGCAUAGAACACCCGCCAUACUUAAGGGGUUAAUGUGAAUAAAACAACCCUGGCAGCUGGCACUGGUUUAUAGAAAAUGUACUAGUGAUAAUCUAAAAAUCUAUUCAAAUCUUCCCCACUCUUUUUUUGGUAGGCUUGGUCAUGGAAUCAAUAUGGAUGUUACUGCUAUCAGCAGUAUAUAUGUUGAAAGUGUGUGCACAGUUUAAUGGAUACAAUUGUGAUGCCAAUCAUCAUAGCAGAUUUCCAGGUAAGAAAUAUUUUAUAAUUUUGCUUUCUUUUUAGAAAUGAAAGCUUUAACAUUCAGAAUUUACAGUUCUAAUAUACUUUGAAAUGUCUACAUUUUCAUAUGUUAAAAUGAAGCCUUACAUAGUUAUAAUAAUAACUAUAAAAAACAUUAGCAUAGCAUGUAACUUUAAGAACUAAUUAUAAAUUUCCUAAAAGUCAGAGUUAUUUAAUAAAUCUGCUCAUGUUUGAUUUCAUUUGUUUACAUUUCUGCCAAUAUUUAAAAUAUCUAUAGCUUUAACCCUUCAAAGUAAUUAUUGCAGUUUCUCAAUAACUGCACUAAUUGCUAUUGUAGGGUUGAGGAGAAUGGAAAUACGUAUCCAGACCACUUCAGUGAGCUGAAGUGGUUUGGGUGCCUAUAGUAUCCCUUUAAAGUGAAAGGGAGCUAUGUUGAAACACAUAGGACUGGUGUUAUCAAAGUCAUUCUUUUUCUGUCCAUAAAUAUGAAAAAUAUGUAUUUUUUGUAAAUACCAUGCAAACUAUUACUGUCAACUAAUCACAUACACAUAGGCUCACAUGUAUCCAGUUGCACACAUUGCACAUAGUUUCAAACAAAUUAUAAGGAAAGGUUUAUUCACUGAACACUCAGUUGUAGUACAUUGAAAUCAGAAUAGCAAAAAUUAGGCAAAAACAGCUAAGCAAAAUUGGAGAAUUAUUCUAGAUCAGAACAUUUGCCUACAUUUUACAAUGAAUUUUUCAAUGCAGUACAAGUUGGUCAGACGUGAGUGAGUAACACAACUGCAAUAUCUAUACAGAACGCACAUACAAAUGCUGUCACAACCAAGGGACAAGAAUAGGGACAAGGUGGCUAAAUAAAUUAUUGGUUAUGUUUAUGUGAUGAUCAGCCAACCCAAAGGCUGGAUGACCUGAAUGGAAAUUUAGCCCACAAACAUUGGCAUUUCAAAGGUUAGUUUACUCAGUUUGUGUGAUUCUUGCUGGUUUAGCAUAAAUGAGAACUGUGGUCAUCAAAUCUUUAUGGUGAUAUAACUAAUCAUCAUUAAAAGUAACUAUACAUUUGUAAAUGCCUGUGGAUCACUCCAUUGUGAAACCUAUGUAUCAUCGGAGAGGAAAUGUAUCCAUGCAUGACCAAUUAGAUCAAAGGGGAUCCAAUGGAUUGGAACAACUGAACAAGCAGGACUUCAAUCUAAGUAUUAUUUUAAUAUGCAGCAAUACAAAAUGGAGGUGUAUUACUGGGCCAUAGAGUUGCUGGGUUUAAUGUUAAAAUGAUAUACAAAGAGCAGUCUCAACAUGGAGAGCUGACUGUCGUGCUUGUGACCUACCUAUGUGAAUAACUCAAAACUACAACACAUUCAAAUAACAAAUGUCCAAUAUACCCAACUGCACAUGUUAGACAAUGCUAAGUCCCUCUAAUGAAAAAAAUAACACAUUGUUUAUUGAAAAGAACAUAAAAUCUACAUAAAUGUAAAGAGACUCACAUAAAUAACAAACAGUUGAAAUUGGGCUGCAACACAAAGAAGAGGGGAGGAGCAAUUGAAUGCAAUCAACUGAGGUUGGUAAACAAUUAACCCUUAGAGAUGUACUCUAGACAGGGAAAGUGCUUAUUGCAUAGAAUGGUAAUUACAACUGGCAUUAAUUCAUUUCACAGGAAGAGCAAUUCACUUGAGCCCUAUGUGUUACCCCUUGGGCUACAAAGAGCUACAAAGUGUCUCUUAUUAUAAUCUAGUAUAAAUUAUACCCUUAUCACUGAGACAGCUCGUCAAGUGAUAUCCAAAUGGAAAUAAUAUAAAAUAACAUAGACGUAUGAGCACAGGCCUAUGUACGCUACCUCUAUGAUGUCGUCUGCUAUACUCCAAACAUCUGAGAGAAAAGAAGCAAAAAGACCCAUACAUAAGUAAGUGAAUUGCUCCUCCUGUGAUGAUUUAAUACCAUCUGUAGUUACCAUUCUAAGCAAUGAUUACUUUCCCUGUCUAGAGUACCUCUCUAAGGGUUAAUUGUUUAUACCCCAGUGAUCACUUGGGCAUAUUGAACAUUUGUUUUUUGAAUAAAUGCAAAAUGAAAUUAGUCAAAAGAAAAAGGCCAAUGUCAAAGAAGUAAAGACUCACAAAUCAAUGCUGCCAAGCCAGUCCAAGAAAGUCAGAGGACAGGAUAAUUUUGAUCAAACCAUGUUAAAUACCAGGGAUUUAAACUAACAUUAGAAUUGCAUGCCAUUGGGAUGAAAAAGCACACACAAGAAAUCUCAGCAGGUUUUUUUAUAGACACUUAUAACUAUAAUUUUUACUUGCCCAAAACAUAUGUGGGCAAUGGUGCAAGGAUGACUCAAAGUGCAUGGAGAAUGAAUCACAAUCUAUGCAGUAUAAAUGUGUGCAGAGUACAAGCAGCCAGUGUCAGAAGUGACGUAGAAAUGAUGCACCUAAUGAGACACAUUGCUUGGGCACUUAAUGAGACAUAUUGCCUGCACUUUUGCCUCUAGAUACGAGGUCAGUAUGGAAUGACAUUUUCUUAAAGCAAUUACAUAUAUAAUUUCUCACUGUGCUAAAUUAUAUAUUCAAAGCAUAAAAAGAUUAUAUUUGUUAAUGUGAAUCUGCUAUGACAGGCUUACUUUAAAAGUCUCUCUAUAUAGUAAACUAAUUAAAAUUAUUAUCUGGCUAUGCAGUGGUAUAAAUAUUAGGCCCCAUCACAGUUUUCUAAAACUAGAAACACUGAUUUUUUGCAAUACUUAUAUACUUAUGCUUCAAUGCAAUUUAUUUUUGUUUAAAUAUUUUUUCAACUAUUUUCAGUAUUUUCAACUAAGUUUCUGUAAGUACUUGUUUAAUUAAACAGUGGAUGAAAUGUGCUUGCAUAUGCACUUAAUAUAUGCAAGUGUUUGAACUCCCCAUUUAAUCUUGCUGAGGGCUUUUCAUCAAUGAACUUUGAUGUUAAACUGUAGAUAUAGCUUAGCUUAGUAAAAUGUAAUAAUUUACUGCACUAAUCAUUGAAAAAUAUUCCGACAUACUCUAACUUGUCUUCUGUGACUUGUGUGAAUAUGCAUUGUGUAACAGUAAAAAUAAAGAAUGCAGGGCACAUUAGAAAAUGUCUAAAAUAAAACAAAAUUGUUGAUCAUGAAUUCUAACCCCAGAGAGAACUUAUCAUAUUUGAUGUGUAAAUGGAGAAAUAUGAAGCGGCAUAAAAAUAAAUGUAAGAAAUAAUUAAAAACCCAUUCACUACCAAGUACGUUUAUAUUUUUAAAACAUGAGAUGUGUACCAUAUUCCAACAGCAAUCUUGUAUAUAAUAUAGCUUGUUGCUAAUGCAAAGUUUGGAAAAUAAAAUAAAAUGAUUCCGAUUUAACUUAUUAAGUUUUUUGUUUUGAUUACAUUUUCAUCCUUUCAUUGAUAUUUGGAUUAACAUUUUAGAGGUUAUGUAAUAUAUCUUAUUUUACACCAUUUUAGAAAGGUUUAGAAAUAAUAGCAUAUACACUGAAAUACUGAAGGAUGUUUAAAUAUCCUGAGUAUGCGUAUUUAUAGGAUGAUGAUUCUUUGUUGAGAUUCUGUCUACCUAAGAAAAAGCUAUCAAAAUACCAUUUGCUUGUAGAUAUAGUAACCAUACAGAAAGAGCAAUUUGUUUCAUAUUGGACAUUGCAGGCUGUUAUUACAGCCUGCAAACAGUUCCUAUAGUGUACGAACUGUGCUGAAUAGUAAUGUGAUUAUUAGAAUGUAAACAAUCAUUACUUAUUAUAAUGUAAACAAUUAUUUAAAAUACAUGCAAAAAAUCCAGUUACAAAGAAUAUUAAAGGUGUAUAAAAUCUUUACUUAAAUGAAUUACAUUUUCACAAUGUUACAGCUCUUCUUUUUAUGUAUAACUUUCAGCGGAAAGAGAUAUCAGCG
rnacentral:lncRNA from 1 species